AAACCAUGCAAGUCGAACGGAGUAACUUGACGGAAGUUUUCGGAUGGAAGUUUUGUUACUUAGUGGCGGACGGGUGAGUAACACGUGAGUAACCUGCCUCUCAGAGGGGGAUAACGUCUUGAAAAGGACGCUAAUACCGCAUGAUAUCUCUUGACCGCAUGGUCGGGAGAUCAAAGGAGCAAUCCGCUGAGAGAUGGACUCGCGUCCGAUUAGCCAGUUGGCGGGGUAACGGCCCACCAAAGCAACGAUCGGUAGCCGGACUGAGAGGUUGAACGGCCACAUUGGGACUGAGACACGGCCCAGACUCCUACGGGAGGCAGCAGUGGGGGAUAUUGCACAAUGGGGGAAACCCUGAUGCAGCAACGCCGCGUGAAGGAUGAAGGUCUUCGGAUUGUAAACUUUUGUCCUAUGGGAAGAAGAAAGUGACGGUACCAUAGGAGGAAGCUCCGGCUAACUACGUGCCAGCAGCCGCGGUAAUACGUAGGGAGCAAGCGUUGUCCGGAUUUACUGGGUGUAAAGGGUGCGUAGGCGGAAGAGCAAGUCAGUAGUGAAAUCUGGGGGCUUAACCCCCAAACUGCUAUUGAAACUGUUCUUCUUGAGUGGAGUAGAGGUAGGCGGAAUUCCCGGUGUAGCGGUGAAAUGCGUAGAGAUCGGGAGGAACACCAGUGGCGAAGGCGGCCUACUGGGCUUUAACUGACGCUGAGGCACGAAAGCGUGGGUAGCAAACAGGAUUAGAUACCCUGGUAGUCCACACCGUAAACGAUGAUUACUAGGUGUGGGGGGUCUGACCCCCUCCGUGCCGGAGUUAACACAAUAAGUAAUC
rnacentral:rRNA from 1 species